rnacentral:lncRNA from 1 species
CCAAAUCAGAAAUGGUUGCUUUAGUUGAAGUCUUAUCAUUUGGGCAUGAUGAAUUAGAUUUGCUUCUUUUAAGAAAGCGUUCCAUUAUUGAAGUUUGUUUCUUUAUAAUAUUUUUGCUUUUAUGUUUAGCUUCUUCUUUUUCUUUAUGUUGUUGUUUAUUCUAAGCUUUCUCUUGCUAUUUUCUUAUUUGUCUCCUCAUUUCAGACUCUUCUCUUUCACGACCUUCUUUCUGCCUCCUUCUGCAACAACCUAAGUUCACGUUAUUUUUUCAAUCAAGAAAUGAUGUCGAUGGUGGUGACAUGAUGCGGUGGUGAUGAUGGCUUUUGUAUAAAAGAGGAGGAAAAAUAUGGUGA